rnacentral:rRNA from 1 species
CCUACGGGGGGCAGCAGUGGGGAAUAUUGCUCAAUGGGGGAAACCCUGAUGCAGCGACGCCGCGUGAAGGAUGAAGGAUUUCUGAGUGUAAAGCUCUUUUAGUAGGGAAGAAAAUGACGGUACCUGACUAAGACGCCCCGGCUAACUACGUGCCAGCAGCCGCGGUAAUACGGAGGGGGCAAGCGUUAUCCGGAUUUACUGGGCGUAAAGCGGGCGUAGGCGGUUCAGCAAGUCAGAUGUGAAAGCCCGGGGCUCAACCCCGGAACUGCAUCUGAAACUGUAAGGCUAGAGUGUAGGAGAGGCAGGCGGAAUGCAUGGUGUAGCGGUGAAAUGCGUAGAGAUCA